rnacentral:sRNA from 1 species
GUCAUCUGUCAUUCAGGCUAUGCGGAGACUGAGGUUGGUGGAUCUCUUUAGCUCUGGAAUUCAGAGCUACAGUGGGCUAAUCUGAUUGAUCAAGUGUCUGCCCCAAGUCUGGCAUCAAUAGGGUGAGCCCCUGGAGUCGUGAGCCAGCCACCAGGUUUUCUAAGGAGAGAUGAACUAGCCCAGGUCAGAAAAUGAGUAGGUCAAAGCUCCCACGUCCAUCUGUAGUGGAAUUACACCUGUAAUUAGUCCCUGAACAUCCAGGCUGGGCGAGAUAGGGAAACCGU